UGGGGAAUCUUAGACAAUGGGCGAAAGCCUGAUCUAGCCAUGCCGCGUGAGUGACGAAGGUCUUAGGAUCGUAAAGCUCUUUCGCCAGAGAUGAUAAUGACAGUAUCUGGUAAAGAAACCCCGGCUAACUCCGUG
rnacentral:rRNA from 1 species